CACAUUCCUGAGGAGGGGAAGCCGCGGCCGUGACCUGGGAGCUGUGAGACCUCGUCCUGCCCUGGCUGCAUCCACAGGAGCUCCGAAGCACCGGGAUGGCCGAUGGAUCCAACCCUGGGGCACCAGUUCCACCGCCGGACACAGCCCUUGGCAGCCAGCCCCGGCCAGAGCUUCAGACUAGACCUGGAAAGCCACAUCCUAUGAACCUCCUGGCUACACCUUCUUCAGUGCAGACAUGAAGCAACACUCCUGUGGCCGAGCACCGGCAGGACAAAAGGGAAGCCCCAGGAAUGACAACGGGCACAACCCCAAACUGGAGCAAACUGGAGUCUGGUACUUUGCCAUCCUGGUAUUACAGUUUACAGACAGCGUACAAAUUCCUUUUGGAGUUCCAGAAUAUCAAGGUGAGACUUUUUGGCCAAUUCCUGUACUUUUGACACCACUUCCAAUGCUCACAGAGCAUUUCAGCU